UAGAGUCGAGUUAUGUCAGAACCGCCGUGAAGAACCUCUGUCACUUUGAGUGUGAUUAUGAGAAAUGCACUUAAUGGGACCUCUCCAUGAUUCAAUGAUCGAAUGAAGAUUUUAAAUGUUUUUGUGACAUUUGCCAACUACAAGAUGUUCUUCUGAUUAGAAAAUCUCAUUAAAAGAAGGUUGGAGAGUUUUUUUUUUAAUACUUUUUUUCUUUGUGAAUAGUUUCAUGAAUUUUGUUGUGGACCUAAUCAUUUUUUUAACUGAUUCAAUUUUGCAGAUUUGCUGGUGAUGACUUAGCUGAAUCACACCAAGUUGUCUUAGAACGUGACCUUUUAUUCCUGGGAAAAGAGCAUCAAUUGAAUUAUCCUUUUGAUGUUCAGGAGCAGAAAACAAGACUGAAGCAUCCUUAUCCAUUCAUCACAAUUGCUCCAAAUAAUUCAGAACUGUCUUUCAGGAUAGAUAAAAAGUUUAAAUUUUCUUCUUGUCCGUAUUCGUUACAAGGCAAACUACAGGAGUCCCAAUGGGCUUCCCAGUACUAUCAACCAGCCGUAAAGAUGAUUAUGACAGAUGGCAAUAUUAAUCAGGAAGAAUACAAACGUUUGAAAACAUACCAUAUGCCAUUUGGAUUCUUUGAUGAAAAUGAGCUCAAGUUUGAAGAGCUCUCCAAAACAUUGAAACUGUUUUCGGAGGAGGAAUCCGUUCUUGGUUUCGGGAAUCAUCAGAGACCUCGAUGCGUGAGCUGUGCAAUCGUGGGAAAUGGAGGAAUCCUGAAUGGAUCUGGCCUGG